GGCGGGGUGAGGCGGGACGGGCGCCCCGCGACGUGACGUCUCUGUGCGGCGCGGCGGUGGGGAGAUGCACGGCGAAGGGCGGCGCCACAGACCCGGCGUGGGACGCCGUCCUGCGGACAGUGCCCAGAGAACGCGGCGUUGCCACCGUCGCAGGCAGAAAUGGGGAGGACAAGUCCUGCUCCAGCCCACGCUCUCUGGCCUGGCAGAGGAAGCCCGCAGGGACGUAGUGCUGGGGAGAUGGUGUCCCCUUGGAGCUGCCAUCAGAGAAGUGCCCACAAGCUGGGGCCCUGCACCUGUUGCGUGGCACCUUCUGCCCACUGAAACCAGUUGGCUCAUAGAUCUGAAACUGGGGGCACGCUGCCCUGCAGCUGUGUGCCAGUGCUGCUGUGCUCAGCUCAGCUCAGUGAUGCAUCUGUGUCUGAGCUACACUGGGUGAGAAGUGUUUUGCUUUUCCUCUGGUCCAUACCUCCCAGGGGU
rnacentral:lncRNA from 1 species